rnacentral:rRNA from 1 species
GGUUUGAUUAGCUCAGAUUGAACGCUGGCGGGAUGCUUUACACAUGCAAGUCGAACGGCAGCACGGACUUCGGUCUGGUGGCGAGUGGCGAACAGGUGAGUAAUGUAUCGGAACGUGCCUAGUAGCGGGGGAUAACUACGCGGCGUAGCUAAUACCUGCGCCCUUCGGGGAAAGCGGGGGACCUUCGGGCCUCGCACUAUUAGAGCGGCCGAUAUCGGAUUAGCUAGUUGGUGAGGUAACGGCUCACCAAGGCGACGAUCCGGCCAGCUGGUUUGAAGGACGACCAACCACACUGGGACUGAGACACGGCCCAGACUCCUACGGGAGGCAGCAGUGGGGAAUUUUGGACAAUGGGGAAACCCUGAUCCAGCCAUCCCGCGUGUGCGAUGAAGGCCUUCGGGUUGUAAACACUUUUGGCAGGAAAGAAACGGCACGGGGAUAAUACCCCGUGCAACUGACAUUACCGCCUGCAGAAUAAGCACCGGCUAACUACGUGCCAGCAGCCGCGGUAAUACGUAGGGUGCAAGCGUUAAUCGGAAUUACUGGGCGUAAAGCGUGCGCAGGCAGUUGGAAGAAAGUGAAAUCCCAAGAGCUUAACUUUGGAACUGCAUUUUUAACUACCGAGCUAGAGUGUGUCAGAGGGAGGUGGAAUUCCGCGUGUAGCAGUGAAAUGCGUAGGUAUGGCGGAGGAACACCGAUAGCGAAGGCAGCCUCCUGGGAUAACACUGACGCUCAUGCGAAAGCAUUGGGGAGCAAACAGGAUUGAAUACCCUGGUAGUCCACGCCUAAACGAUGUCAACUAGCUGUUGGGGCCUUCGGGCCUUGGUAGCGCAGCUAACGCGUGAAGUUGACCGCCUGAUACGGUCGCAAGAUUAAAACUCAAAAUUGACGGGGACCCGCACAAGCGGUGGAUUGAUGUGGAUUAAUUCGAUGCAACGCGAAAAACCUUACCUACCCUUGACAUGUCUGGAAUCCCGAAGAGAUUUGGGAGUGCUCGCAAGAGAACCGGAACACAGGUGCUGCAUGGCUGGCGUCAGCUCGUGUCGUGAGAUGUUGGGUUAAGUCCCGCAACGAGCGCAACCCUUGUCGACCCAGUUUCUGCGAAAGGGCACUCUAAUGAGACUGCCGGUGACAAACCGGAGGAAGGUGAGGAUGACGUCAGAGUCUCAUAGCCCUUAUGGGUAGAGGCUUCACACGUCAUACAAUGGUCGGGACAGAGGGUCGCCAACCCGCGAGGAGCCAAUCGAAACCCGAUCGUAGUCCGGAUCGCAGUCUGCAACUCAGGCUGCGUGAAGUCGGAAUCGCUAGUAAUCGCGGAUCGGCAUGUCGCGGUGAAUACGUUCCCGGGUCUUGUACACACCGCCCGUCACACCAUGGGAGUGGGUUUUACCAAGUAGUUAGCUUCAACAGCGAGGGCGGUCUACGAGCCAGUUCGCUGACUGGGGUGAAGUCAUGGCCUAAGGUAA